GAUGAACGCUGGCGGCGUGCUUAACACAUGCAAGUCGAACGGGAAACCUUUUAUUGAAGCUUCGGCGGAUUUAGCUGGUUUCUAGUGGCGGACGGGUGAGUAACGCGUGGGUAACCUGCCUUGUACAGGGGGAUAACAGUCAGAAAUGACUGCUAAUACCGCAUAAGCGCACAGAGCUGCAUGGCUCAGUGUGAAAAACUCCGGUGGUAUAAGAUGGACCCGCGUUGGAUUAGCUAGUUGGUGAGGUAACGGCCCACCAAGGCGACGAUCCAUAGCCGGGCUGAGAGAGUGGACGGCCACAUUGGGACUGAGACACGGCCCAGACUCCUACGGGAGGCAGCAGUGGGGAAUAUUGCACAAUGGGGGAAACCCUGAUGCAGCGACGCCGCGUGAAGGAAGAAGUAUCUCGGUAUGUAAACUUCUAUCAGCAGGGAAGAAAAUGACGGUACCUGACUAAGAAGCCCCGGCUAACUACGUGCCAGCCGCCGCAGUAAAAC
rnacentral:rRNA from 1 species